UGACGACCCUGCCUAGUGCCCACCCUCGUUCCCAUGCUUCCCCAGACAUUGUCUCCAUUGGACACCAUAGCGACACCGUGACAUUCGGGGGUUGUUACCCAAUUUCAAAAGUAGGGCUCAGAGGUGGAGGGAUUUUUCUGCUCACCAUGCACAGCCUCUAAACAGGAACCAGGUAAUGUCCAGGUGUGAUUGUGACCCUUCCCUGUCAAAGUCACAUGGAGUGCCGGUCAGAAAGCACAGUCCCAGGCUGACCCACCCGGAGAACCGGGUCUGUGGGCCGGUCAGGAACCGGCAUCUGAGUGCUUUUCUGGUGAUUCUGUGUGCACAGCAUUGAGGAAUCCUGAGAUUAAAUCCUAGUUUACAGAAUUUCCAGUCUUCCACAUGAGCUAAAUGACGUGUCCUGUUUUUCAAAGAGGAGAAGGCUUUUGUGGAAAUAACAGUUAAAGGGAGAGUGAGACAUGCACCACGUUUACUCCGCAGCUUUCCUAACUCAGCCAGCAUCUGCGCCCGGCCAGUGUGUACCAGGCAGGGAUGGUGGCUCCCAGUGUGCUCGCUGAUCAGUCUUGGCUUAACCACCCAUCACACAAGCUAAAUGCAGCUGCUCGGCAGUCUCCAAAGCUCUGGGACUGUGGCAAGGUUUACCAGCGGGAUUUCAGUCUUUCCUAAGACAACCUUGUGUGGGCGUGGCCCUGGAAAGAGUGACCCUGGGACUCUGGCCCUGCUCUCAGGAGCCACACCGCCCAGUGCCUGGGGAGGAGCCACGGCCUUCCCCCUAGAGGCGCUUCCUCGAGUAGCUGGAGGGCAUUUCCACCUUGAGGCGGCUCCCAGGGGAGAAGGUGAGCUCCUCUGAGCAGCGCAGGUGAAUGCUGCCUGGGCAGCCCCAGAUGACACUGUCCGAGGGCAAAGAACCCCCUCCUUAGCGGGGUUCAUGUGGGGAGGGGUGUUGAUUUUGUCUUCCGUCUGUCUCUGAACAGAUGGGCAUUUAUUUCGCUCAGUUAGUGAAGCAGGUACUCUGUUCAUAAGGACUCUGGAAAAGGCUUCAACUUAGAAAAGCAACAUCAGAUGUUUCAAGGCUGGGGAGGAAAGCGGUGCUGCAAGGAUGCUGGUUCUUCUGUAGUUGAGCACUUCCUGUUGGUACUUAUCAAGGUGUGUGUGUGUUGCUCCCCCUCCCACGACUAACAGUGUGGAUCUCCCUGUGUGGCUGGUGUGACAAUGACGGGGACGAGGGGUCCUGCCCUUGACAUCGCCUCCUAAAGGGAAGGAGACAACAGCCAGUCUUUGCUUGCACCUUGAAUGAAGACGCUGUAGGCCUUGUGCCCCUGCGAGAGGAUGCGGCCAGGAGCCUGUGAGUGUGGUGACAAUUCCGUUCCAGCCACCUGCGUGCUCCCUGUCGCCGCAGGCGAACUCGCGAGGUGAGGGAAUGGGCACACGAACAUUACCUCAGAUUUGCCCGCAAAGCUGUGAAUUCCCACAAAGAAAGCUGCUCGGCAUGGCCGUUUUCUGUUGAUGUUGUUCGGGUCCUUUCGAAGCUCCAUGUGCAUCCUGCUCUCUACACCAUCCUGUACGCUCCCCCUGCAUCCAUGCAGCCAGAGCCACCUGCAUGGCUUCUCCGCACAGCUGCGUCAGGGCCCCCGGGCAUGACUGAGCACUAUUGAUGGUACAGUUGACGCUUGCAUUGACCUUGCUCCUCUGCUGUUCUUACAUAGCCUUUCACUAAAAGGAAAACACGUACCAUGACUCUGUGAUGCAAACAUUCUUUGGUUACCCUUUUGAAUCACUUCUCCUUCAGAGUGAACAAAUGUUUCCAGCUAAGCUAUGUGAGAACCCAAGAAAGAGGGGCUGCUUGUUUUAAGCACGUCCUUCCACUUACACACAUUUUAAAGUGUGGGAUUUCCUCCCUGUACUUCAUGAACAGAAACCUCCUCGGGAUGGUUGGUCUCCUUGCAAAGCUGUUCUCAUCCACACAGACUCCGGUAGAUGCUGGUGUCUUUAUAGGUGUCCAUGGAGUCGGUGAUGACAGGAAAGGUGAUCUAGAAGUAACUUCUGUUGCUUCCCAGAAGGCUAAUGAGCCAGUCACAUGGCAUAUUUGAUGCAUGAGUCUCCUGUGUCAUGACAGUUCACUAGAAUGUCAGUAAACAGCCCAACUACCUCAUGUGAAAUUGGCUGUGGACAAUCUGUGUCAGAUGAGACAUGUGUUAAGGUCACUUUAAUCUGGUUAGUAGAUGAGACAAAAAUGAUGUCUCUAUAAAGAAGAAACACGUUCAACCAGAUGCCAAAGGCUAUGAUGUACAUAGGUUUCCUUGGGUUAAUUUUUUUAAGUCAGUGUUUAAUUCCACCCCCAGUAUUCUUAUCUCGAAUGUUCUUGGUCUCAUAGAUUCAUGCACUUUGAAUAUCUGUCACACGCAGUCUUUGUUACCAGUUCUUGUCCUUCAACGUUUUGAUUGAGCAUCAUAAUGACAGUAGGAAACAAGUGUCAAGUGAUUUGUGGAUUUCUUAAUUUGGAUGGACCUUUACUUAGAAUAUAAUAUGUUGGAGCCUUUUUAGGACCAACCAAUGAAUGAAGAUUUCAUGUUUAGUGUUUCAUGUAAAACUCUGUCCAAGUUCUUACUCUGUCCAAGUUCUUACUCUGUAUCUUGUUGGGGGUUGGGGGAGAAGAGCAGAACAAGGGAGGGUUUUACUUUUUUUGCAAAAAUGUUUGAAAACAUCUGUCAGAUUUUAUAUUCGUUAGUUAUAAUAAAGUUAUUUUUAAAGUAUUUUA